rnacentral:rRNA from 1 species
AUUGAACGCUGGCGGCAGGCUUAACACAUGCAAGUCGAGCGGGGGAAGGUAGCUUGCUACCGGACCUAGCGGCGGACGGGUGAGUAAUGCUUAGGAAUCUGCCUAUUAGUGGGGGACAACAUCUCGAAAGGGAUGCUAAUACCGCAUACGUCCUACGGGAGAAAGCAGGGGAUCUUCGGACCUUGCGAUAAUAGAUGAGCCUAAGUCGGAUUAGCUAGUUGGUGGGGUAAAGGCCUACCAAGGCGACGAUCUGUAACGGGUCUGAGAGGAGGAUCCGCCACACUGGGACUGGGACACGGCCCAGACUCCUACGGGAGGCAGCAGUGGGGAAUAUUGGACAAUGGGGGGAACCCUAAUCCAGCCAUGCCGCGUGUGUGAAGAAGGCCUUAUGGUUGUAAAGCACUUUAAGCGAGGAGGAGGCUACUCUAGUUAAUACCUAGGGAUAGUGGACGUUACUCGCAGAAUAAGCACCGGCUAACUCUGUGCCAGCCGCCGCAGUAA